CGUCAACGAAACAAACCGAACACUUAGCGCUGCAAGAUUUAGAGAUGAUCGGAUUUGGCAGACACAAGAUUUAGGGUUUGCAGAUGAUCGAGAGAUACAACCUUCGUAACUCUAAUCUUUGAUUUUUAGGGUUUCUCUGCGUGUUUAAACUUUUUUGAAGAAAAAUCAAAAAUGGGUAGCGCUAACAACUUAAGCAGGGAACACGAAUCAAC
rnacentral:lncRNA from 1 species